GGUUCACUUUAACACUGAGGCGUGACGACGAGGCACUACGGUGCUGAAGCAACAAAUGCCCUGCUUCCAGGAAAAGCCUCUAAGCAUCAGGUAACAUCAAAUCGUACCCCAAACCGACACAGGUGGUCAGGUAGAGAAUACCAAGGCGCUUGAGAGAACUCGGGUGAAGGAACUAGGCAAAAUGGUGCCGUAACUUCGGGAGAAGGCACGCUGACACGUAGGUGAAGUGAUUUACUCAUGGAGCUGAAGUCAGUCGAAGAUACCAGCUGGCUGCAACUGUUUAUUAAAAACACAGCACUGUGCAAACACGAAAGUGGACGUAUACGGUGUGACGCCUGCCCGGUGCCGGAAGGUUAAUUGAUGGGGUCAGCGCAAGCGAAGCUCCUGAUCGAAGCCCCGGUAAACGGCGGCCGUAACUAUAACGGUCCUAAGGUAGCGAAAUUCCUUGUCGGGUAAGUUCCGACCUGCACGAAUGGCGUAAUGAUGGCCAGGCUGUCUCCACCCGAGACUCAGUGAAAUUGAACUCGCUGUGAAGAUGCAGUGUACCCGCGGCAAGACGGAAAGACCCCGUGAACCUUUACUAUAGCUUGACACUGAACAUUGAGCCUUGAUGUGUAGGAUAGGUGGGAGGCUUUGAAGUGUGGACGCCAGUCUGCAUGGAGCCGACCUUGAAAUACCACCCUUUAAUGUUUGAUGUUCUAACGUGGACCCGUUACCCGGGUUGCGGACAGUGUCUGGUGGGUAGUUUGACUGGGGCGGUCUCCUCCUAAAGAGUAACGGAGGAGCACGAAGGUUGGCUAAUCCUGGUCGGACAUCAGGAGGUUAGUGCAAUGGCAUAAGCCAGCUUGACUGCGAGCGUGACGGCGCGAGCAGGUGCGAAAGCAGGUCAUAGUGAUCCGGUGGUUCUGAAUGGAAGGGCCAUCGCUCAACGGAUAAAAGGUACUCCGGGGAUAACAGGCUGAUACCGCCCAAGAGUUCAUAUCGACGGCGGUGUUUGGCACCUCGAUGUCGGCUCAUCACAUCCUGGGGCUGAAGUAGGUCCCAAGGGUAUGGCUGUUCGCCAUUUAAAGUGGUACGCGAGCUGGGUUUAGAACGUCGUGAGACAGUUCGGUCCCUAUCUGCCGUGGGCGCUGGAGAACUGAGGGGGGCUGCUCCUAGUACGAGAGGACCGGAGUGGACGCAUCACUGGUGUUCGGGUUGUCAUGCCAAUGGCACUGCCCGGUAGCUAAAUGCGGAAGAGAUAAGUGCUGAAAGCAUCUAAGCACGAAACUUGCCCCGAGAUGAGUUCUCCCUGAGACUUAAAGUCUCCUGAAGGAACGUUGAAG
rnacentral:rRNA from 1 species